AAAAAAAAAAAAUCUCUCUCUCUGAGUUUGUUUGCAUGGGAAGUCAGUACAUAGGUGAAUGGAGAUGAAAGCACGGUACAUAGAAGACGGUGACAAUAUGUACCCCUCCACUUGUUGGUAUGUUGUAAGAAAAUGCACUCUGUACAUUCUUCAUCUAAGUGUGCUGCGUCCAGGUUUGCUUGCUUUCAUUGAUUAAUUAAAUGAUUGUUAGCUAGUUGCCUUACUACCAAUAUCGUGAAAAAUGGCCGGAUAUUUUUUCAGAAUAUAUUUUCGACUGUUGGAGUGGAAAAAAGGGAAUCCUGUGGCAUAUUAUUUAUUUCAGAAUAUAUUUUCACACCAUACACCAUUCCUUUGUGUAUGGUGUGAAACAGUUGGCCAAAAGUUUGAUAUUAAGGGUUGGAAUUAGGUGUGGGGGCAGUGGCGCACUGAAGCUUCUCCUGUUGUUUUGUUUUCUGAUUUUUAAAUGUUUUUGGCCUAUUUGCUAUUUGGAAACUAUCUCUUCUCUUUAAUUUUGUUUGAAAGCGAAGUUAACAUCCUUUCCUCAGGUGGAUUGUGCUUUGCUUAUAUCUUGUUUGGUAUUUUCGUCUUUCCAGUUAUACUGGGUCAGUGUUCUCGGGAUAUACUUUUUUCAAGUCUGCGGUUGUUCAUCUGCGGUUUGGAGGAAGGUCUCUAUGUUCUAUUCUUACAAGGCUCUUUUUGUGUUUUCUUUAUCUUCUCUUGGUUUCUUUUUGCAUAAUUCUUUCGUUUUUGUUAUCUGUUUGGAGGUCAAGUGGAGAGCAAAUCUUGAGUGCCCUUUUUACUAAGGUUCUUCGUCUAAGUAUUCUCUGUGGUGGUUGCCAUGUGCUUGUUUUGUCUGGAGAAGUUGAAAAUAGGGGAUUGACCGAGCUGAGUAAAUAGGACUGCAGGAGAUGAGAUGAUUUGUUUCUUUCUCUUCAUAUGGUUCGAGCUUCAGUUUGGAGGAAGCAUGACGGAUAUUUUUGCCAGGCUGCUCAUCUGCAGUUUGGGGGAAGUAUUCUCUGUAGUGGUUGCCAUGUGCUUGUUUUGUCUGGAGAAGUUGAAAAUAGGGGAUUGACUGAGCUGAGUAAAUAGGACUGCAGGAGAUGAGAUGAUAUGUUUCCUUCUAUUCAUAUGAUUCGAGCUUCAAUCUAGAGCAAAUAUGACGGUUCUCUUUGCAAAGGUUUUCAUCUGGCUGGCUGUAAUGAAGGGUAAUUGCAGGUAAUAGUUAUUACUGUGCUUUAUUGAUACUUUCAUUAAAUUGAAUACGAUUGUCUACAAUCAAUGUCCGCAAAAAUUUGUUCCAGAGUUGGAGUUUCUUAUUAUGAUUUCAGUAUCCGCCAACUUCAUCCGCUUGAAGUUUGAGAAGAUGGUAGUGCUGAAUUCCCCUUGAUUGAUAUAUGGAUGAGUUUUAAGUUGGCUUUGUUAGGAAUGGAUUCUAUUUCUUUCAGUCCCAAAUCAGAUACAUACGUUGUAGUUUGAUCUACAUAUGUUAUUAAGGAGACGUUUGGAUUCGAAGAUGACUUAAGAUGAUUUGAGAUGAGCUGAGAUGAGCUGAGAUGAAUUGUGAAUA